CUUAGCAUUGACAUAUAUGUAUUUUCCAAUCAAAAAAUUGUUUUACGAAUUGAAAAUUGAGAAUCUAAAUAUAUAAAAAUUAAAAAAUAAUACAUACAAUAGAACUGAAUAUUGCAAGCACGGCUGGCCAGUAAUAAAAUCUCAAGAUCCCGAUGAAUCGCUAUUUAAUUUAAGGAUGAUGUUCACAUCCAGUGAGGUAUCAGGAUGUCUUCUGUUCACUCAAAUUGACUAUUAUGGGGAAAUGGAUCCCACAUAAAUUCACAUUUAUUCCGCUUAACUAACCUAACAAUAAAAUCUCAAUAUCCCGAUAAGUCGAAAUUUUAUUUAAGUUGGACACUCAUACGCUGUGCCGACGGUACUCAUUACUUCGUGAUGAAAAAAUAAGGAUUUUAUGUGUUUGUUUCUCUUUCGAGACGAGCUUAAUGAUCUGAAAUUUGAAGUGAAAAGGAAAGCCAGAUAGACACUAUCACACACUCACCACCAUAUUUGGUGUGGAUGAUUAUAGUUUAAAUUUUUUAAGAUCU